CCUCCAAGGUGUUGGACUCAAAUUUGUGUUGGAUUGAAGAAUUUGGAAGAUCGUCUCUCAAUUGGGGUUUAAGCGAAUUUUGAUCAGUUGGGUAAUUAUCCAAUCUUUUGGGGACUACGUUGGACGGUUUGUGGGAUUUUAUCUCUGAAAGCAGUGUUUUCAUUGAAAAAUUGGGAAGAUCGAUUGUCUCUUAGAUUUUUACCAAUUACAUGAGUUGUGAGUUAAUUAGGGUAUCGUAUCUGACCAGUUGUGUUUAUGUUCUGCUUUGUGUUGUCCAUUUUUUGGGA